AGUAGGUGUAAUACCUAACCCUGUUUCCUUUCCAGGUACUCACAGUCAAACAAAUAAUAGUUGUGUUAGGAAACCUAUUGCCUACCCCGUCACUUCACUUCCGGGUGAAGGAGGCGCAACGUGUUCCUCUGUUUUUUCAUCUCAGCCAAAGGCUAAAAUAGCCCCAGCAGCCACUAGUUUCCAGGAUCCAGACCUGAAAGGGUUAUCUGAUGAGAUGCCGACCACGAGUUCCCGCUUGACAGUUCAAAAUAUUCCUAAGAAGGAUGGGCCUGUGGGUAAGACUGAGCAUUCCUCAGUACAGGUAGAAACUACUUCUGUGACAGGUAACGUAUGGAAAACGAG